rnacentral:rRNA from 1 species
AACGAACGCUGGCGGCAUGCCUAACACAUGCAAGUCGAACGAGACCUUCGGGUCUAGUGGCGCACGGGUGCGUAACGCGUGGGAACCUGCCCUUAGGUUCGGAAUAACUCCCCGAAAGGGGUGCUAAUACCGGAUAAUGUCUUCGGACACAAGAUUUAUCGCCUUUGGAUGGGCCCGCGUUGGAUUAGCUAGUUGGUAGGGUAAAAGCCUACCAAGGCGACGAUCCAUAGCUGGUCUGAGAGGAUGAUCAGCCACACUGGGACUGAGACACGGCCCAGACUCCUACGGGAGGGAGGGGGGGGGAAUGAUGGACAAUGGGCGAAGGCCUGAUCCAGCAAUGCCGCGUGAGUGAUGAAGGCCUUAGGGUUGUAAAGCUCUUUUACCCGUGAUGAUAAUGACAGUACCGGGAGAAUAAGCUCCGGCUAACUCCGUG